AACGAACGCUGGCGGCAUGCCUAACACAUGCAAGUCGAACGAGACCUUCGGGUCUAGUGGCGCACGGGUGCGUAACGCGUGGGAACCUUCCCUUAGGUUCGGAAUAACUCCCCGAAAGGGGUGCUAAUACCGGAUAAUGUCUUCGGACCAAAGAUUUAUCGCCUUUGGAUGGGCCCGCGUUGGAUUAGCUAGUUGGUAGGGUAAAAGCCUACCAAGGCGACGAUCCAUAGCUGGUCUGAGAGGAUGAUCAGCCACACUGGGACUGAGACACGGCCCAGACUCCUACGGGAGGCAGCAGUGGGGAAUAUUGGACAAUGGGCGAAAGCCUGAUCCAGCAAGGCCGCGUGAGUGAUGAAGGCCUUAGGGUUGUAAAGCGCUUUUACCCGGGAUGAUAAUGACAGUACCGGGAGAAUAAGCUCCGGCUAACUCCGUG
rnacentral:rRNA from 1 species